UACGAAGGGGGGCUAGCGUUGCUCGGAAUCACUGGGCGUAAAGGGUGCGUAGGCGGGUCUUUAAGUCAGGGGUGAAAUCCUGGAGCUCAACUCCAGAACUGCCUUUGAUACUGAAGAUCUUGAGUUCGGGAGAGGUGAGUGGAACUGCGAGUGUAGAGGUGAAAAUUCGUAGAUAUUCGCAAGAACACCAGUGGCGAAGGCGGCUCACUGGCCCGAUACUGACGCUGAGGCACGAAAGCGUGGGGAGCAACAGG
rnacentral:rRNA from 1 species